UACAGAGGGUGCAAGCGUUAAUCGGAAUUACUGGGCGUAAAGCGCACGCAGGCGGUUGGUUAAGUCAGAUGUGAAAGCCCCGGGCUCAACCUGGGAAUUGCAUUUGAAACUGGCCAACUAGAGUACGUGAGAGGGGGGUAGAAUUCCAAGUGUAGCGGUGAAAUGCGUAGAGAUUUGGAGGAAUACCAGUGGCGAAGGCGGCCCCCUGGCACGAUACUGACGCUCAGGCGCGAAAGCGUGGGGAGCAAACAGG
rnacentral:rRNA from 1 species